rnacentral:tRNA from 1 species
CGCAGGAUAGAGCAGUUGACUUGUCGAGCUCAGCUUUUUAUAAAUAAAGAGUCGAAGGUCGUAGUUUUUUAUCAAGUCCUACUCCCGCAACCA